rnacentral:lncRNA from 1 species
GUAAGUUGGAGUCUACUUUCUAUAAGCAACCCCCCUUGAGUUCCUAUCCCAUUUAUGCAUCCUAAGAGCCACCAGGCUCUGUAUAUCAUGUGUGUCCUCUCUACCCCAUUUACCCUCAUAUCCCCGGGACCUUGUCUGCUAAAUUAUUUUGCUUUGUUAAGGCCUCUGAGCUCUAGCUACCAAGUUAAUCACAGCUGGGGGGAGCAAGUGUCUUUGCUCUCCAGGGCAGUGUCUAGAAAGAGGUCAGUGGUAGGUGCUGGUGACCCAUUGUUCUGUCCCUUGUCUCCAAGAUUCGCUUUAAGUAAUGGGUGAUGGCUGGGCAGGCAGGCCCUUCUUCCCAUGCAUAGCCAGGUCUGCACACUGGCUUCCAUUCUGCCUCCAUCUCCCUGACCCUUGCUCUGCAGAUGGCUGCUGUACACCGCUGCCUCUCCCUGCUGCUCCUGUCCACCUGUGUGGCUCUGUUGCUGCGGCCGCUGCUGGGUGCCUGGGGAGCGCCACUGGAGCCAGUGUACCCCGGAGACAAUGCUACGCCAGAGCAGAUGGCCCAGUAUGCAGCUGAGCUCCGCAGAUAUAUCAACAUGCUGACCAGGCCUAGGUGUGUACUAGAGAAAGGGAGAGAGAUCCUGGAUCUCAGGGCGCUGGCCAUAGCCCUAUCCCCAUUCCCACCCCUGUCCCCAGCCCCCUCCAUGCCUGCUCUUGGGAAACAGCAUCUCUGUAGAACAGGUUUGAGCCAUGUCCAGGGUAGGGUGGUGCCUGAGGGGACGUCUGAGGCGGGUGAGCUGGCACCUUGCAUGGUGCUUGCCCCAGCUGCCCCUUCCCUCCCAGGUAUGGGAAAAGAGAUAAGGAGGACACUCUGGACUUCUUGGAAUGGGACUCCCCCCACGCAGCAGCCUCCAGGUAGGAUUUGAUCCCCUGCCCAUCUACUCAGCUCUCUGGGGUAAGUGGAAGUGGGGUGAAAAGGGGCAGGUGAGGGUGAUGGUGGGGAAGACGGGGCCCAGAGCAGUCCUCCUAAGGGCACAAGAACUGGCCCCACACCACCAGUUCUGCCCUCUCUUCACAGGGAGCUGAGCCCGAUGGACUUGUAAUGCCACCUCCUGCCUUCUACAGUUCCAGGGCAGUGCCGACCCAGCUCUCCUCUGCACCCAUGGCUCUGGCCACAGAUUGCUCCCUGCUCCUACGUAGGCUCAAUAAAGCAAGUCAAUGUCAUAGCUCCUUUCUGUGUCUCUGUGGG